rnacentral:rRNA from 1 species
UACGGGGGGUGCAAGCGUUGUCCGGAUUUACUGGGCGUAAAGGGCGCGUAGGCGGUUGUAUCAGUCGGGCUUAUAAGUGCGGGGCUCAACCCCGUGAUGGGUUCGGGACGGUAUGACUGGGGCGCGGUCGAGGGAGACGGAAUGCCGGGUGUAGUGGUGAAAUGCGUAGAGAUCCGGCGGAACACCGGUGGUGAAGGCGGUCUCCUAGGCCGAGGGCAGACGCUGAGGCGCGAGAGCGUGGGGAGCGAACCGG